GGAAAGGGAAACAGCCCAGACUUCUGGCUAAGGUCUCAAAGUAGUGGCUAAGUGGCGAAGGAGGUGUACCUGCGAAGACAUCUAGGAGGUUUGCUCAGAAGCAGCAAUCCUUUAAAGAGUGCGUAAUAGCUCACUGGCCGAGCAGGUAUGCGCCGAAAAUGUAAGGAGGCUUAAGUCACUCACCGAAGCCGAAGGUCUACACGGAUAGUGUAGGCGGUAGAGGAGCGUUCUAUGCACGAUGAAGUCAACUCGUAAGGGUUGAUGGAGUGUAUAGAAGUGAAAAUGUUGGCAUGAGUAACGACUGGAGGUUAGAAUCCUCCACGCCGGAAGCCUAAGGAUUCCACAGCAACGUUCGACGACUGUGGGUUAGGCGGAACCUAAGGUUAAGCCGAAAGGUGAGACCGAUGGGAAGCCGGUUAAUAUUCCGGCCCCUAGCUAGUACUGGGAUGGCAUGACGCAUUGGGUUGUGUGUAUGCUUUCUAUAUGGGAGUUUAACAAACAAGUCGUCUCUAACCAAAAGGUUGGAGGGGUAGUAUAGGAGAAUCCGUGCUACUUAAGACGAGUUUUGAACAAGACCUGCAUUAAGUAGGGAAUACAUAGAUCUGGUGCCAAGAAAAACGUCUACUAUUAAUACUACCUAGUCCGUACCGAGAACUAACACUAGUGGGCUGGUGGAGAACACCAAGGCGAGCGAGUCAACUAGGGAUAAGGAACUCGGCAAAUUAGCGGGCGUAACUUCGGGAUAAGCCCUGCCUGGCGUAAGUCAGGUUGCAGCGAAAGAAGCGGGGGGGACUGUUUAUCAAAAACACAGCUCUCUGCGAACUCCAAAAGAGGAGGUAUAGAGGGUGAUGCCUGUCCGGUGCCAGAAUGUUAAGCACUGGGGUGCAAGCCCUGGUGUGAAGCACUGGUGAACGACGGCCGUAACUAUGACGGUCCUAAGGUAGCGAAAUUCCUUGUCGGGUAAGUUCCGACCUGCACGAAUGGCGUAACGAGGGCCACACUGUCUCCACCCGAGACUCAGUGAAAUUGAAAUUGCUGUUAAGAUGCAGUAUACCCGCGGCCAGACGGAAAGACCCCGUGCACCUUUACUACAGCUUUGCAUUGAACUCUGAUCCUACCUGUGUAGGAUAGGUGGGAGACUUUGAAACUUUAACGCUAGUUAGAGUGGAGUCAUCCUUGAAAUACCACCCUGGUAUGGUUGGGGUUCUAACCUUGGUCCGUUAUCCGGAUUGGGGACAAUGCAUGGUGGGUAGUUUGACUGGGGCGGUCUCCUCCCAAAGAGUAACGGAGGAGCGCAAAGGUACCCUCAGCACGGUCGGACAUCGUGCAAUGAGCGCAAAGGUAAAAGGGUGCUUGACUGCGAGACUGACACGUCGAGCAGGUAGGAAACUAGGUCUUAGUGAUCCGGUGGUUCUGAGUGGAAGGACCAUCGCUCAACGGAUAAAAGGUACGCCGGGGAUAACAGGCUGAUACCGCCCAAGAGUUCACAUCGACGGCGGUGUUUGGCACCUCGAUGUCGGCUCAUCACAUCCUGGGGCUGAAGCAGGUCCCAAGGGUAUGGCUGUUCGCCAUUUAAAGUGGUACGCGAGCUGGGUUUAGAACGUCGUGAGACAGUUCGGUCCCUAUCUACCGUGGGCGUUGGAGACUUGAGGGAAGCUGUUCUUAGUACGAGAGGACCGGAAUGGACACACCUCUGGUGUUUCGGUUAUGACGCCAGUCGUAUUGCCGAGUAGCUAUGUGUGGAAAGGAUAACCGCUGAAAGCAUCUAAGCGGGAAGCCCCUCCCAAGAUUAGGUCUCCCUGACAGUUUAACUGUCCUAAAGAUCCCUCGGAGACUACGAGGUUGAUAGGCACGGUGUGGAAGAGUAGUGAUACUUGAAGCUAACGUGUACUAAUUGAUCGUGAGGCUUGACCAU
rnacentral:rRNA from 1 species